GACGAACGCUGGCGGCGUGCCUAAUACAUGCAAGUCGAGCGAAGCGGCGGAUGGGUGAGAAAUGCGUGGGUAACCUGCCCUUCAGUCUGGGAUACAAGAUGGAAACGGAUGCUAAUACCGGAUACUAAAGGAUGGACCUGCGAUGCAUUAGCUAGUUGGUAAGGUAACGGCUUACCAAGGCGAUGAUGCAUAGCCGAGUUGAGAGGCUGAUCGGCCACAUUGGGACUGAGACACGGCCCAGACUCCUACGGGAGGCAGCAGUAGGGAAUCUUCCACAAUGGACGAAAGUCUGAUGGAGCAACGCCGCGUGAGUGAAGAAGGUUUUCGGAUCGUAAAGCUCUGUUGUUGGUGAAGCGGUAAUCAACCAGAAAGGCACGGCUAACUACGUGCCAGCAGCCGCGGUAAUUC
rnacentral:rRNA from 1 species